rnacentral:rRNA from 1 species
AUUGAACGCUGGCGGCAUGCCUUACACAUGCAAGUCGAACGGCAGCACGGGUGCUUGCACCUGGUGGCGAGUGGCGAACGGGUGAGUAAUACAUCGGAACAUGUCCUGUAGUGGGGGAUAGCCCGGCGAAAGCCGGAUUAAUACCGCAUACGAUCCACGGAUGAAAGCGGGGGACCUUCGGGCCUCGCGCUAUAGGGUUGGCCGAUGGCUGAUUAGCUAGUUGGUGGGGUAAAGGCCUACCAAGGCGACGAUCAGUAGCUGGUCUGAGAGGACGACCAGCCACACUGGGACUGAGACACGGCCCAGACUCCUACGGGAGGCAGCAGUGGGGAAUUUUGGACAAUGAGCGAAAGCCUGAUCCAGCAAUGCCGCGUGUGUGAAGAAGGCCUUCGGGUUGUAAAGCACUUUUGUCCGGAAAGAAAUCCUUGGCUCUAAUACAGUCGGGGGAUGACGGUACCGGAAGAAUAAGCACCGGCUAACUACGUG